rnacentral:rRNA from 1 species
GAUGAACGCUAGCGGCGUGCCUAAUGCAUGCAAGUCGAACGGGAACCUUUGGACUCGUCUGAAAGUGAGAGUGGCGAACGGGUGAGUAACACGUUGGUGACCUACCCCAGAGAGGGGGAUAACUAUUGGAAACGAUAGCUAAUACCCCGGAUGUCGUUACUAUUAGAAGGUAACGACUAAAGCUCCGGCGCUCUGGGAGGGGCCUGCGGCCCAUCAGCUUGUUGGUAGGGUAAUGGCCUACCAAGGCGAAGACGGGUAGGGGGCGUGAGAGCGUGACCCCCACACUGGUACUGACACACGGACCAGAUACCUACGGGUAGCAGCAGCAAGGAAUAUUGCCCAAUGGACGAAAGUCUGAGGCAGCAACGCCGCGUGGAGGAUGAAGGCCUUCGGGUUGUAAACUCCUUUUCUGGGG